GAUGAACGCUGGCGGCGUGCCUAAUACAUGCAAGUCGAGCGAAUGGAUUAAGAGCUUGCUCUCAUGAAGUUAGCGGCGGACGGGUGAGUAACACGUGGGUAACCUGCCCAUAAGACUGGGAUAACUCCGGGAAACCGGGGCUAAUACCGGAUAACAUUUUGAACCGCAUGGUUCGAAAUUGAAAGGCGGCUUCGGCUGUCACCUAUGGAUGGACCCGCGUCGCAUUAGCUAGUUGGUGAGGGAACGGCUCACCAAGGCAACGAUGCGUAGCCGACAUGAGAGGGUGAUCGGCCACACUGGGACUGAGACACGGCCCAGACUCCUACGGGAGGCAGCAGUAGGGAAUCUGCCGCAAUGGACGAAAGUCUGACGGAGCAACGCCGCGUGAGUGAUGAAGGCUUUCGGGUCGUAAAACUCUGUUGUUAGGGAAGAACAAGUGCUAGUUGGAUAAGCUGGCACCUUGACGGUACCUAACCAGAAAGCCACGGCUAACUACGUGCCAGCCGCCGCGGUAA
rnacentral:rRNA from 1 species